UAUGAGUUUUAGUUUUGGGUGAUUUGGAUCUGUAUUGACUUUGUAAUAGCUUUGCAAAUUCAAGGUUUGUUUCAGAUGACUUGGAUUUUAUGAAAUAAAAUAGGGUUUACGUUUUGGAUGAUUUCAAGAUUUUUAUUAUAGAUCUAUAAGUGAAAUUUUGUGGGUUUAUGGUUAUAGUUGUGUUUAAUAUGUAUCAUGAAUUUGAGCUUGAUCUAACGGUUGAAUUGAGAGAUAUUGAGGUUUAAGUGGGUCAAGAUCUUAGACAAUAGAAUUUUAGGUCCAAAGGGGGUUUUUGAGAUUUCUUGCAAUGUGUUUGUUGGAUUGGAGUGAAACUUGUGUGAGAGGAUAUAAGACUUGUUUUUCUAUGCAUAUGAGAAUUUUGUGCUCAAUCGAUAGGUGCAAAAGUGAGAUAUUGGCUCUAGAAGAUUGGCAUUAAGAUUGGAGAAGGAGGCCGACCAAUAUCUGAGCACAUUUUUGAGGAUAUCGUCAAU
rnacentral:lncRNA from 1 species